UAUAUAUAUAUCAAAACAUUACAUAUAUAAAAAAUGGGAAAAAAAAUGUAGAAAAUAAAAAAAUAAAAAAAAAAUUCAUAUCCGGAUCGUACAACGACACCCUUGAUGCAAAACAUGUUUGCGCGCCUGACAAUGUUAAGACACACGACACACACUUCCCUUGAGAAAAGAUGAUAGCCUUCACGAGUGUCUUACUAUUUCUUUGCAGAGCCCCUCUUCUUGAUGACGACGCGUACACUGUCAGCUACACUUUGCAGUGUCUCACUUAAAUUUUUCUCUAUCUUUGUAUCUCUCCAUUUCAGAUAAAUUGUUAUCUUUCCAAGGGUUGAGGAGAACAUGGUCGUGGUUCAAGUGAAGCCACUACAGCCACUCCCUGACAAGCCUUCCACACCGACAGACAGUGGCAGCAGACACACAAGAGACGAUGGUGUGGUGGACAAGAGGAUGCAGGGAGACAGCAGACAGAAUGGAAGUUACAGAUGAAAGAAGAGCAGGUCAAGCCAUGGCAGCAGACACAUAGACAGACAGAUUGGAUAAGAAAGAAGUAUUAUUUAGUGAGACAGGACCACUGGAAGCUGUCAGAGUGCUGUGGCACGUGGCAAGAACCAAGUGUUCAGGAGCACACACUGUCCCUUUACCAGUCAGCAGGUCUGGGCGGCUUGGAAGCCUCACUACAAACUGAAGACCCGUUCACUUGAAGGACACAGUUGGAGUCGGACACAAGAUCCAAGAGGGAGUUAUUUUUAAACGAGAGCUUCAGGCAGAAAAUUCGAGUGGAUUUUCAACUCUAAAAAUAACUUUUUUGGGGGGAUAUUUUGAACCUUCUUUAUCUUGAAAAAUAACUCCAGAUAUUAUGACUCUAGCUGGAAGUUGACCUGAGCAAUGUAGGGUUUGCUGCAGUGAGAUUACCAAGGCACGAGUGUCUGGGAUUUAAAAAUGAUGGAUAUGUGUCCUGUGUGCUGCUGUGCUGGGAGGAGAGGAGCAGCAGCAGUCGUGGGGCUCUGUUGCUGCUGUCAUUGGUGCAGCCGUUCACUCCUGCAGCUACCUUCCCUCAACAUACUGUGUCUUCCCUCACCUGCAAUGAACAACUAUGAACAAUACUUCUCCUGCGAUGAGGAACAGUGAAUAACACCUCUCUCUCUCUCUCUCUCUCUCUCUCUCUCUCUCUCUCUCUCUCUCUCUCUCUCUCUCUCUCUCUCUCUCUCUCUCUCUCUCUCUCUC